CACUGGGGCGACGCCGGCGCCUGCUCCGGCGACCGGCGCGCCACCCCGCCGCCGGGAAGGGGUCUCCUUCGGUCCUCCCCCUCGCUUCCCCUCAGGCAGCGCCUCCCCCGCCGUCGCCCCCGGCUACCUUGCAGGCCGGCACCCCCUGCUGCUUGGAGGCUAGCGCCCUGUGCAGCCUUGCUCGCUGCUCCCUAAUUCUGCCUGAACCGCUGAUGAAGGAGUGAAGAUAACUGUCUUGUCAUAUUCAUUGAGCGGGAUAUUUCUUUGAGGUGGAUGGAAAUGACAUAAUCGAGACUUUCAUGAGCAUUAGAAAUCGUAGACUAGAUAAAUAGCUUUUUUUGUUCAUAUGAACUAGUAUAUUUUAAGUAUUUGUAUUAUAAUUUAUGCAAUUUUGGUAUUUAACUGUUGAAUUUAAGAUUUGGAAUGUAAUUUAUGUGCUUGGUAACCGAA